UGCAUAUCAAUAAGCGGAGGAAAAGAAAAUAACAAUGAUUCCCCUAGUAACGGCGAGUGAAGAGGGACAAGCUCAAAUUUUAAAUCUGUUGGGUUAUACCUAUCAGAGUUGUAUUUUGAAGAAGCGUUUUCCGCGUCUCGGUUGACCCAAAUCCUUUGGGAUAAGGUAUCAUGGAGGGUGAGAAUCCCGUUCGGUUGACCUUAUGACGCUCUACGAUACGCUUUCAAAGAGUCGAGUUGUUUGGGAUUGCAGCUCAAAAUGGGAGGUAAAUUUCUCCUAAGGCUAAAUAUCGGCGAGAGACCGAUAGCGAACAAGUACCGUGAGGGAAAGAUGAAAAGAACUUUGAAAAGAGAGUUAAACAGUACGUGAAAUUGUUGAAAGGGAAACGAUUGAAGUCAGUCGUACCGACGAGAAAUCAGCUUCUUAUGCGCUUUAUUGUGGGCGUGCGUGAGUUUUAACGCCUCGCUGUUUGCAAUGUUUGUGUAUUUUGGGUGUACUUUUUCGUAUGGUAGGCCAAUGUCAGUUUCGAUUAUCAUAAAAUGAUCGGAGGAAUGUAGCUUUGGUCUCGAUCGAAGUGUUAUAGCCUCUGGUAGAUGUGGUGAAACGAGACUGAGGAUUGCAACGAAUACCUUUUGGGCUAUCCGUCUGACCUCUGAAAGUCGCUUAGGUGCCGAAAGCUUGCUUACGGUUAUUUAAGUUGGGCGGUCAAAGGCUAGAACGUGAUUAUAUUCGUUAAGGAUGUUGACGUA
rnacentral:rRNA from 1 species